rnacentral:rRNA from 1 species
AACCUGCCCCAUAGUCUGGGAUACCACUUGGAAACAGGUGCUAAUACCGGAUAAGAAAGCAGAUCGCAUGAUCAGCUUUUAAAAGGCGGCGUAAGCUGUCGCUAUGGGAUGGCCCCGCGGUGCAUUAGCUAGUUGGUAAGGUAAAGGCUUACCAAGGCGAUGAUGCAUAGCCAGUUGAGAGACUGAUCGGCCACAUUGGGACUGAGACACGGCCCAAACUCCUACUGGAGGCAGCAGUA